rnacentral:rRNA from 1 species
CAGAACCAGCAGAUUUACUUCGGUAAUGACGCUGGGGACGCGAGCGGCGGAUGGGUGAGUAACACGUGGGGAACCUGCCCCAUAGUCUAGGAUACCACUUGGAAACAGGUGCUAAUCCCGGAUAAUAAAGCAGAUCGCAUGAUCAGCUUAUAAAAGGCGGCGUAAGCUGUCGCUAUGGGAUGGCCCCGCGGUGCAUUAGCUAGUUGGUAAGGUAACGGCUUACCAAGGCAAUGAUGCAUAGCCGAGUUGAGAGACUGAACGGCCACAUUGGGACUGAGACACGGCCCAAACUCCUACGGGAGGCAGCAGUAGGGAAUCUUCCACAAUGGACGCAAGUCUGAUGGAGCAACGCCGCGUGAGUGAAGAAGGUUUUCGGAUCGUAAAGCUCUGUUGUUGGUGAAGAAGGAUAGAGGUAGUAACUGGCCUUUAUUUGACGGUAAUCAACCAGAAAGUCACGGCUAACUACGUGCCAGCAGCCGCGGUAAUACGUAGGUGGCAAGCGUUGUCCGGAUUUAUUGGGCGUAAAGCGAGCGCAGGCGGAAGAAUAAGUCUGAUGUGAAAGCCCUCGGCUUAACCGAGGAAUUGCAUCGGAAACUGUUUUUCUUGAGUGCAGAAGAGGAGAGUGGAACUCCAUGUGUAGCGGUGGAAUGCGUAGAUAUAUGGAAGAACACCAGUGGCGAAGGCGGCUCUCUGGUCUGCAACUGACGCUGAGGCUCGAAAGCCUGG